AAACGGUCGAGCUAAACGUAUCGGCGCGAGUCUUUAGAAAGUCGUCGGUUGGACGUCUUGGAAUUUACACAUUGGUCUAAAGGCACGAUAAUGAUUUUCGGCCACUUCCCAGUCCUGCCCAUCAAAUUACACACCCGUAACCAGGACUCCGAUCUGAACUUGAUUUCUUGUUGGCGAACGGAUAGAAGGUGAAAUUGCAGAAGCCGGUCUCCUUCCCGACUGGUCACGCUUGCAUCGAGUAAUCUCUUGGAUUGGUCUACUGCGUCCCAGAGUAGGUGAAGGGGAUGCUGUGUUUCUCGUGAAUUGAUCGAAAGCGACAGGAGCCGCAUGGGGGGUUCGAUCCUCACUGUAAACUCACGUAAAACAGGAACUGUCAAUUAUUAAAAUUCACUGAUAACGAUGCAAGCUAUCUACGAUAUCCAAGAACUCGAAUAAAUCAUUAACCGAA